rnacentral:lncRNA from 1 species
UCCCAAAGGUGUCUUGCUGCUUAUAGUGGCAGCGCAGCUCUCUAUCUCAUUGGCGAUGACCUCGCCAAUAUUCAUAUUUAAUUGCCUCAACAUGCAGUAAAUAAAGAUGACCCUGUGAAAACUGAUGUCAGAAACGUAGGAACAAGGCUGGACAUUAGCAUGAGUAAAUGCCAUUGAAUAUCUCGCCAGAGGUGUCAGAUCCACCCUCUUGAUGUUGAUGCGAACACCAUUCGAGUUUCUGUAGAAGUGCCCUCCAGGUAUGCAAAACAUCAUCUUAAUAUUAUCAUAGUCUGAACACUUUCUGAUGUUCAGUGCAAACUGACAC